GGGGACAUAGCUCAGUGGGUGGAGCUCUUGCCUUGCAUGCAUAAGGCCCUGGGUUCAAUUCCCAGCACCA
rnacentral:tRNA from 1 species